rfam:Candidatus Staskawiczbacteria bacterium RIFCSPLOWO2_01_FTLL_38_12b rifcsplowo2_01_scaffold_7190, whole genome shotgun sequence.
GGCCCGGUACUCAAGUAGCCAGAGAACGGUCUGCAAAACCGUGUACAUGGGUGCAAUUCCCAUCCGGGCCU